CGCCCUCCGGCCCCGCCCCCUGGAGCCGGGCGCGCUGGUCCCGCGGGGAGGGGAAUGGGGCAAGGGCCGCGGGCACUCAGUACGCCCGCCGAACUCGAGGUUCCGGCGGCAACGCGAUCAGGAGAGCAGGAGUGCACGGCCCGCAUGCGUAAGAGGAAAACCUCAAACUCCAGCUGAAGGACAUGCUCCAGAAUACUUGACCAGGACGCCUCCAACUGAAAGGGUCGUGAAAAGCAUGGCAAGAGCAUCAGCACAGACCUGAGGAUGCUGGGAGACAUGCCGAAUGGACGCGAUAUGCUUCCCUGGGCAGGAUCCUGGAACAGAGGGAGCAUUCGUGGAGAAGCUGGUUGGCCCAAAUAAGGUCUGGACUUAGUGAAAGAGAAGUGCCAGCAUUGGUUUUAUAGUUUUGACAAAUAUACUAUGGUGGUGCGAGAAGGUAACGCUAGGGGAAGGUGAGACUAGGUGGCUGGGGUAUGGGAACUCUCUGUACAAUCUUUGCAAUUCUUCUGUAAAUCUUAAAUUAAUUCAAAAAUUAAAAGGUUUAUUUUAAAAUACGUAAUUUCAUGGGCCUUACAGGCGGUGUGUUUUGGUAAUGGGUCUGGAUGUCUUUGUUCAUUUCUACAGGUCUACAUGUAUUCUGGGACUGAAUAUGAUUCCACCUGGAGAAGGCGUCCAAAGUCUAAACUUGGGCUUCUUACGUAUGGAACCCAGGCCAGGUGGCCCUCCUGCCCAACCUCCUCCCUUAGCCACUCUCACCCCCUAUUCAGCUACCUCAGCUCCCCAUCUUCUGAACCUUGAAUGCUCAAUGUUCUGCGCUGUUAGAGCUGGAAAGCCCCAUAGAGACUGGCCCCAAACCUUUGUUUUAUAGAUGGAGAGGCUAAAAGGGGGAAAGAGAUUUGCCCCUGGCCACAUGGUAAGUUUAUGUAGGCAAAGCUGAGAAUGUGUCCAGCCAGGCUUUCUCCCUCUCUGGCCCCAUUUGCCACAGACAUGGGGAUCAGACCCACAUGGGUGCUCUGAAGUAGCAGUGACUUACUUGGGGACUUGAGGAGGGCAAUGCUACCUCGAAGGAAUGAGAGAGUCUGUUGGACAGAGCAGUUGUAAUGAAAGCUUUCUCACUGGCCCCCCAACCAGUGAUUCCCACUUGGUUUUGAAGAUCCAGGCAGAAGUGGGGGGUCUGACGGUAGGCAAAAGGAGGAGUCUGCCUGCCUGCUCCUCCCCCACCCCACAAACCUACCUCAGUGAAGGGGCCAGAGAGAAAUAUGAGGGUGUUCAGAAGAGUUAGGUCUCUAGUUCUGGGGCUGGACAUUUUCUAGUCUAUGCUGGGGAAUACCAACUUUGGAGAGCCCCUUGAAGCUGCCAGAGAGGCCUUCCCUAGGGUCUUGAGAGUAGGGAGCAGGGCUGAGGAGGCUCUGCCAUUGAGCGUGCCGGGGUGGACAUUCAUGCCUUCUGGCCUGGGGGUAGGAGGGGCCUGCCCCUGUCCCUGGGCCCCCACUGUCCCACUCACUAUGUUCCCACUCUGGACUGUGAUAGUUGGAAUACCACUGUCUCCCACCUUACUGUGGCUUCUUGAAGAUGGGUCCCUGGGACUGGGCCGAGCACAGAUGUUGGUAAAUGCUUGGUGAGUCAAUGUGUGGGUGGUUUGGAGUGGUCUGGUUAUGUUUUGCUGUGGACAUUUCUGUUGUGUCCUCUUUGUCAGUCCAGCUCAUAGAUGUCCCCUUGUAUCUGAAAAGUACAGUCAUAGGCCUGGAAAUGCAGGAGCUCAAGGUUCACCUGGUGUCGCCAACUGAGCCACCUGUCAAGAUUCAGAUGGGAGUGGAGAGCUGGAAGCUGGCCACGGAUGAACUUGCAUGUAGGCCAGGUCUAACCACGAUCAGGAGCUCGCUGCUGGCCAGGCCGACGGCAGCUCUGUGAUAAGAGUGGCCACCCACAGAUAGAGUUGUCAUCGCAACCAGUUCACAAGAUCCUGGAGGUCACUAAUGUGCUGCUCACAUGCUGGUCAGAAGUUCUGAUGGACUGUUUGAAGUGUCACUGGCUGAUGCAAGUGCCGCUGGAGGCUUGCUGGCUAUCUUUAUAGCACCCUGAUUCGCUCUCCUAACAGUACUGGGAAUUUCCCAGCCAUGUGAUCUGGUCAGAAAUGACCCCAUUCCAGGGGUGGGGACUAACUGGCUUACCCAAAUCAGAAAAAUCUCAUCCUCCAGGCUAUAGUAAUUGGUCAGGAAGAGGCACAUGACCCAAAUCAGGCCAACCAGGGUCAACGAGUCUCAAUUCCUAGUCUUUUCUUUGAGCCAGCCAGGAAGUAAGCUCUCUGUUCCUUGCCAGUCACAAUGAGAAAAGCAGGUAGUGGCAGGAGCUUCUGGAGGCCACCUUGUGACACAACAUAGGUGGCAGAGCCAAGAGACUAAAUAUAGGUCCUUGGUAACAGCUACUGGAUCAAGCCUUGUCUGAAGCUAUUCCUAGUACUAGACUUUUUGGUUAUGUAAGCCUAUAAAUUCUGUCACUCACAAUCCAGAAUAUCCUUUAUAAUGAUAAUAAUUACUUAAUAAUUAUUAAGUAUAUACAAAUUAUCUAAAAUACAACUUAGGGGAUAAAAUCUUAUAAAAUAUGAGGUCUAUGGGGACAGUUUGGAAUGGUGAAAAGAUCAGCAAACUGCUGAUCUGUUUAAGCUUUGCUAUUUGGCUUAUGGUAAAACUAAGGCCCAGAGAGGUCAUGAGAUUUGCUUGAGGUUUUAUGUAGCUGCUCAGUAUGGCCUCCUGACUCUCAGCCCACUAAUUCUUGAUGUUUAAUAAUAAUAAUUGGAAUGUUUGAAUUGGAAUGUGGCUUGCCCUGUGAAAGCAUCACUGCAUGUUUUUUUUCUCUCUCUCCCUUUUUUUUUCUGUUUUCCUAAAAGGCAGAGAAAGAAUGGCAAUAGUUCUCUUCAUUUUGCAAAGAGGGAGGCAGAAGUCCAGAGAGGCUUUAAGAUUUGACAAGGUCACACAGAAAGGUGGUGAUAGAACUGGUCUUAGAGGUCAAAUGCAUGAACGUCACUUAAGGUUCAGCCCCUCCACCUCACCCCUUGUGCUAAUGACCUCCGCCUCCAUUAGGGCAAAGAUGAGGGGCAUGGUGGGUCCCUUCUUCUGGCCUUCUUUUCAUCUGCAGAGUGAUUAAAGAGGACUUUGUGUUGUACAGGCCAAGGAGAUGAUUAUAGGCCCUGGCAGAUUGUCCUUCUCCAGCCAGCCUUAGGAAAAUUAAGGUUACAAUGCUCAGAGAAAACAUCGGGUUAUUUCUAUUGCCAGAGCCUCCAAAAGGGGGGCCAACCUAGAGACAGGAGGCUGUAUGGAUGAGAUUCUGACUUCACAAUCCACGUGAUCCCCAGCUCUGGCACCUACUGUCCACUGCCCAAAAGCCUACCUUGGUUCCCCAACAUUUUCCGUAGCCGUAGGAUUUAUAUGCACAGCUGCACAGGUGGUGUAGUGCACAAUUUGGAUUAUGAUCUGAAUGGUGACCCCUGUGGUUAUGCAGUUCACAGGUUGUAAAACAAAGCUCAGUGAGACUAGGCUGCGUUUCUCAACAUGUUGGAAUAUUUAGACUGUUUUCACAGCAAUCAGUGACUUUGAAAGCCCUUUAUUGAAUUAAAAAUAUCUUUUUUUGCAAGGUAAAGAAGAUACUUUUAAAAAGUUUAUUUUAGGUCAGUCUUAGCCCAAAGAUUAUAUUAAAAAGCUUAUUGUUACUAAGACUCCUAUUUUUAAAGGUGACUUUUGACCCUUUUCUAUUUAGGAAGUCAUGUCUACUGUUUAAUAGAAUUUAAGUUAAUUUUAUGAGGAAGAGCAAGAUUCGUACACAGGUGAAUUAAUAUUUUGUCAGGCUUGGUUUGGGGACUGAAUGUAUGCUGAAAUUAUCAUUACAGAUUGAAAUUUACAUGCAAUGAAAUUAAAAAAUAGAUAUAUUUGCUUUCAAUACAUGGGAGUUUAGAGUUCUUGCAUCUUUUUCUUCAUUUUUCUGACUCAAUUAUUUUAAAAGCAAAUUUUGUGCUUUGUUUCUGAAUGAAGAGAUAAGAGAGAAGAUACCAUCUCUUCAAAUAACCCAUUUCAGGUAUGAAUAGCUGUUAUUUCCAAAAGAUGAAAAGCUAAAAUGGCUAUAUUUUCUCUUUUGAGUGUGAGUUUUUGAAGUAUUAGAGACAGCUCAAUGUUCCAUAUAAGGUUUUUUUUUGAACAGGUGAUACAUAAACAAUGUAAAAGGUUCAAAAGGUACAGGUGUGUUUACUAUAGAACCCAAAUAUCCUUCCUGUGGUCUUUAAAGUUAUUCAACUCUCCAGGAACAACUGAAGUUAGUAGCUUCUUAUGUAUUUUUCCAGAUAGAACCUAUGAAUCUACAAGCAAAUAUUUGCACAUAUGUUUUCUGCUUUGUUUCUCUUUAUUUUUGUACAAGUGAGGACCUCUAUACAAAACAGUGGCAUCUUGCUUUUCUCACUUCAUAAUAAGCCUUUGAGAUAAUACCAAUUAGGACAUGUUAUGCUGAUUACUGAAGUAUUUUUCAGCUGGAAAAUAUUCCAUUGUGAGGGUGCACCAUAAUUUAUUUAGGCAGUUGCCGACCGCUGAACACUUAGGUUGUUUCUGAUCAUUAGCUAUUACAAACAAUACUGGAGUGUAGAUCCUGCCCUUGUCAUCACUUUGCAACUGCACAAAUACAUAAUUGGAUAAAUUCAACACGCUGGGUCAAAGGGUGUAUUAGUCUGCUGAGACUGCCAUAACAGAGUACGACAAACGGGGUGGUUGAGCAACAGAAAUGUAUUCUCUCAGGGUUCUGGAAGCUGGAAGUCUGAGAUCAAGGUGUGGGAAGGGUUGGCUCCCUUGGAGAGCCAUGAGGGAGAAUCUAUUCCAGGCUUCUCCCAGGGCUUCUUGUGGUUUGCUGGCAAUUUUUAGUGUUCUUUGGCUUGUAGAUGCAUCACCCAGUCUCUGCCUUGAUUUUCACAUGACAUUCUCCCUGUAUGUGUGUGUCUGUGUCCAAAUUUUCCCAUUUUAUAAGGAUGCAGGUCAUAUUGGAUUCAAGGCCCACCCUACUCUAAUAUGAUCUCAUCUUAAUAAUUACUUGCAAUGACCCUACUUUCAAGUCAAGUCACAUGCUGAAGUACUGAAGAGUUAAGACUUCAACUUUGAAUUUUUGGCUGACACAGUUCAAUCCACAGCAAAAGGUAUAUGAGCAUUUACUUUUAGAAAAAUAUUGCUAAAUUGUUCUUCAUAGAAAUUGCACCAUUCCCUUCCCACCAGCAGUGAUGGAAACGGCCUGGGUCACCAUCCUUGUCAGUGCAAUGGGUCACCAGACCUUUUGAUCUUUGCCAGUCUGGUAGAUAAAAAGUGGUAUCUCAUUGAAGUCAAACUUCUAUUUCACUUAUUAUAACUGAGGAUAAGAGGUGUUUUUUUUUUUUUUUUACAUUUAAGACUGAUUUGUAUUUUUUUUGUGAAUAAUUGUUUAUAUUCUUUGACUCGUUGUCUUUUGAAUUGUUGGUCUUUUAUCCUUACUGAUUUGUAGGAACUCUUUAAAGAUAAGGGAAAUUAACUCUUUGUGAUACAUGUCAAAUAUUUUCUUUUCCAAUUAGUUAGUUAUUAUCUGACUUUGUAUUGCAUUUCUUUUUUGUUUACUCAGAAAAAAUUUUCAAUUUUAUGUACAUAAACAGAUCAUUUUCUUUUAUGAUCUGGGGUUUUGUGUGAUGCUUAAGAGGCUUCUCCACUCUUGAGAUUGUGACAAAAAUUCUACUUUUUUCCUAACAUUUAUUAUUUCAUUUUUUAAUGUAUAGUUUUUAAAAAUCUAUUGGAAUUAAUUUUGGCAUAGGUGUAGGGACCCAAUUUAAUUAUCCUGGUGGAUACUUGGUGGUCCCAACAGAAUUCAUCGAUGUGUGAGAACUGUGGUCUGAUGUAAGUGGUGUGUA